CAUAGAGUACAAACCGACACAUACCCACACACCAAGAAGGAAUGUGUUAGCCCUUCAACUGAAGAAUAGAGGCUCCCAGGGUCCCUUUUCAGAGUCCUUUGGAUGAUUGUAUGCUACAGAAAUGAUUUUUCCUACUUUUAAAAUUGAGUCAAAAAGAAACCAAAUGCCCUGAUUGCAGAUACUUGGACAAAGAGUGAAAAACUGAAAGUAAAUAAAAAUGGGAAAACAGUAUCUGGUUUCACAGGAAUAAAGUCAGGAGGGACAGAUGAACCAUUUGGGGAUGGAUUAUUCAUCACUGAAAGCCUUCUUUUUGGAUUGUCCAUGAAUACAAAGAUAACUGGAAAUCAUCUGAAAUCAACCAGUGCUAGGGUUGAACAAAUCAUGGAGAAAUAGAAUUAAAGAAUGGGGACGUUUUUUCUCUUCAACCAA